rnacentral:rRNA from 1 species
GACCUGCGGAAGGNCAUUANUGAAUUUGGAUGGGGUUGUUGCUGGCCNUUCUGGGCAUGGUGCACGCCUCAAUUCGUUCUUUUAUUACACCUGUGCACAUAUUGUAGGGUUGGCUCUUGUGUGGGACGUUGAGGCUUUGUUGACUCGCUCUCCGAGCUUUCCUUAUGUUAUUAUUAUCAUAAACUGGUCUACAGAAUGUCUAUUGCGUGCAACGCAUUUAUGUAUAUAACUUUCAGCAACGGAUCUCUUGGCUCUCGCAUCGAUGAAGAACGCAGCGAAAUGCGAUAAGUAAUGUGAAUUGCAGAAUUCAGUGAAUCAUCGAAUCUUUGAACGCAUCUUGCGCUCCCUGGUAUUCCGGGGAGCAUGCCUGUUUGAGUGUCAUGGAAUUAUCAACCUUCAUUUACUUUUGUGUGAAUUGAGGGCUUGGAUUUGGAGGGUUUAUUGCCGGGGGAGAAUAUAUGUCUCAUCGGCUCCUCUUGAAUGCAUUAGCUCGAAUCUCUGCGGAUCAGCUACUCGGUGUUAUAAGUUUUAUUUAUUUACUGCCGUCACUGUGAUGCAUGAAUGAUUGGCUUCUAAUUGUCUUGUUACGAGACAAUUCUAUAUGAUCUUUGACCUCAAAUCAGGUAGGGUUACCCGCUGAACUUAAGCAUAUCAAUAAGCGGAGGAAAAGAAACUAACGAGGAUUCCCCUAGUAACUGCGAGUGAAGCGGGAAAAGCUCAAAUUUAAAAUCUGGCGGUUUUUCUGGCC